GGCGUCGACGCUUGGGACUAUUUCGCUGACUUUUAAUCAGGAGGUCAUGGGUUCGAAUCCCAUCGCGCUCACCA
rnacentral:tRNA from 1 species